rnacentral:misc_RNA from 1 species
GGAUGCAGCACUAGUUGUUUCAGAUUUUAAACAAUUCUUCCAAAAUCAUUCUUCACAAUUGAUUCAAGAAGUAUUCGUUAACUUACAGGAAGUAAUAACAUAGUAGAGAAAAAUUUUCUAGCCCAGGUUGGCCAAAACAUCAUUUAAGGUAGUUACAGUUUCAGCAUAGUACUUCUGUGCUUCAGCACUGUUCUUGGUCUUUGCUGCAUGGUCCAGAUCACUAAUGGUCUUAAAGAGCUUUCCAGACAGAUCCUGGAGUUUUCCCUUCUGUUCUUUUGGCAUAGCAGAGAUAACAGUCUUAAGGUCAUAGCGAAGGUAUUCUGCUCUGAGACGAAGGUCAUUCUGGACGUAAGGCCAGGCCUUCUUGUCGAUGAAAUCCUUGACACUAACAAUCUCCUUGGCUGAAUCCUUAACUCUCUGGGCUGCCUCAGCUGGAGUCAACGGUUGAAGGUAAAACCUAUUCUUCAAUGGCAAACUGAAGUCCCUUGCCUCAUCUGAGUUCAAAGUUCCAGGCAAUCCACCCGAGGGAGGAGGUGGGGGGCCAACCUUAAUUGACCUGGCUUCAGCAAAAGCUGCUUUAGCAACGGAACCAGCUAGGCCAGCAGCAACAAGACCAAUCAUGGCUCUACGGCUAGUUUCGAUGUCAACAGACCCCUGUUGGGCUCUGACAGUGAGUCCUGGUCUAGACAAGGCAAUUCUGUUGGUGCUAACAGUACUCAAGCGGGCUGAGCCACUAAGCUGGAGGCUACCAUCCAAGACAGUUUGUGAAGAACCAAUUAGGCCACCCAUAGAAGCCAUAGCAUGAGCCAUUCCUCAGGACCUUUUUGUUUUGGUGAUAAAAUAAAAUGUUUCAGGUAAGACUUGAUUACAAAUGUUUGGGAAUUAUAAGUUAAUGUUUGUG